CAUAGAAAGCUCCUCUUUUUUUUUAUUUCCUAUAAAUGUCAAGAUUAAUUGUUAUAUGCAUAAGUGUAUACAUACGCACUUGUUAGAGAGAGAGAGAGGGAGAGAGAGUGAGAGAGAGAGAGAGAGAGAAAGAGAGAAAGAGAGACAGGGGUGAAAAAUGAAAAAAAAGAAAAUGAAAAAAAAAAGAAAAAAGUACAGAUUCUUAAACUCUAUUUAACAUCUUAUUGUGAUGUGACACUAAAUAAAUAAAAAAUAAAAAAUAAUUGUAUCGUGUGUGUGAGAGAAUCGACGCGAAGAAUUUUUCAACUACAUAUCAGUGUCGCGAGUGAUUGAAAAAUAUCGAUUCAAGUAUUAUUACCAUCCACUAUAAACGUUAUGAACGUUAUAUAAAUUACCAUUGACAGUGGAUCUUAUUGCCUUUUAAUUUUGUUGAACUUGAGAAAACGGAUCAGCUUUGUAUAAUAAGAAUACUAUCAACGUGAUGUCAUGAUAAUAUUUCUAUCACAAAUACAUACCAUAUUAAUCACAUAUACAAAUUGCAAUUUUUGCUAUAAGCCUCUUUUGUUCUGUACGUUUACUAUAUAGUAUUACAUAUAUUCAUAACAAACUACCAGCAAUAGCAUGUAAUGAUAGUUAUACUACCAUUAAUUAUAAAAAUAUUUUACAAAGAAUAAAAUGUGUCCAGAUUGACAUUAAAAGAAAGAAAGAAGAAAAAAAAGAGAAGAAAAAAAAAGAAAAAGGAAAGAUUGUUUAUUGAGGCAACGGAAUAAUGGGCAAUUACGAUCCAUAAUUAGUGGUAUCAAAAAAAAAAGAAAAAAA